rnacentral:lncRNA from 1 species
CCGUUAGAAGAGGAGCAGGCACAGGGAGCUCCCUUCCUCCAGUGCCAUCCUCCAGGGUUGGACGGGGACUCUCAGUUCAUCAGGGCUGUACAAUCCCAAACCCCAUGGUGUUCUCUACAUGAUGCUGUUCUUUCUUGCUCACAUUGCACUUUAAGUGGCGGGGAACCACCAGCAGCACGAGCCUGCAAACACUGCCCUCUGGAGGGCCACCGUUGUCUCCAUCAAUGUGACAGCAGGAAGAGUGGACACUCAGUCUUCCUUCUGACUUUAAAUACUUCCUGUGCCAGCUGAACCUAGAUGAGCUGAGGAAAGGCCUCUGAUAGAAGAGAUGUUUCCACAAGUAAGCAAGACGCGGUGUGCAGCGAGGAUGGGGAUAUCACGGAGGAGCUCUCCACACGAGGGCUGAGGGAAGCAGGACUUGGUUAACCCCUUGGUGGACAGGAAAUGAUUGUGUCCUCUUUCCUGGACAUAGAAAGAAUGUAUAAACUAAUGAAGGAAAUGUUUAUUUUUAAAUAAGGAUGUUUUAGGUCUGUGUUUCAUAUUUGUUUUUUUUCUCAUACAAACGUUAGCAAUAUAAUGAAAUGUCUACUUUCCCAGUUUAAUUGCAGCUAUGAAGAGUGCAGUCUAGAAAUUAGGUUAAGUGUCUCUAAACCUUUCUUCCGUGUGUCAAGCAUAAUUAUAUUGAGAUAUAUUGUGUAGUCAUUUGGCUCAAAAAGGCUUAAUAGAGACACUAAUGAAAACUCACAGACUUUUACCAAGGAAGAUGGUUGAAGCCUGGGUGAGACAGCAGAGACUGGGCUGGUCUUCAAGAAUAAGCCUUCUGUGGGCAGAGCUGCUUUUCUGUUGAGGAAUACUUUCUAGUGACUUGGUCAGUGCAGCCUUCCUUAGAUCAGUAUCAGCCUAAGCUGAGGGAGUGACCUGAGAAGAGCAUUGUGUGUGGUAACUGGAGAUGCGUGGAACAAGCCUGAACUGUAAGAGGGCUGCACGCCUGUUCGCUAGCCCGUUUACUUUGUCUCACUGGUAUGCCUCAGAGCUGGCAAAGGCAGGAUGGUAAGAGAAGGGGCUGGGGCAGCUCAGGCUUCUGGGACCUCAUCCAGACCUUAACAGUUAAGACCUUGAACAGUCAUUUUACUCCUCAGAGCUGCUGUUGGCUGUUUACACAGAAUUAAUCUGGAUAGGUGCUCUGUGAGACAGCAGAAGCCUAGCAACAUUGUGCUACUGGUUUAGAAGGACUAUGAAGGAUGGUACAAUCCAGAUGUCCUUCAGGUAGCUUCUGUGCUCCUACCAUUCCUACAGCUUUCCUCAGCAUUUACUCAGACUUAGAAUGAGCAGUUAUAACCUUAUUGCUACUUGCUAGUUACCUGAAUAAAAGCCCACAUCAUCAAAAGCUUGAAGAUAGAUUUUCCUACUGUAAUAUUGGGUACACACAACCUUACCUGUUGCAGUAAAACAGAAUCCAGAGGUUUCUAUUAUUUUAAUCAUAUAAUCAGGGAUUUGUUGUUAAAAUAUGGACAAAUACCAUAUGCACAUUUUUUAUUUGAUCUUCUCUCUGAUGAAUAGAAGUAAUUACUGUACCAGAAAAUAUCACAAAUUGGUAUUCCCUGUAGAAAACCAAACCUAAUUCCCAAAGUUUCUGAAAAUAUGGUCCUCAAGAGGAGAUAUUUUAAAAUGUUCACCUCUAAGUAGCUUAAUCGUUACAAUGAUUUCUGAAGUAGACAUAUCAGAAAUAAAUCAUGUAACUGAAUGUUCCCUCCAGAACCAUCUGAUUUUGCUUGGGAAGUGAAUGGUGACCCUUGGCAGGCCAGUGGCAUCUGAGUUGUUUAAACUCUCGUUUUUAGAUAUAACAUCACCAGAUAAAAUAGCAAGGACGUGGUUGCAUUUUCCUAGUAGCCUCGCUCCCAGCAUAUUCUUUCUUAUGUGUUUCUCCCACGCCUCUGCCUUCGAGUAAGAUUGAGCUAUUCCAAAAGGCAGAACUACUGGGCGAGAUGAAGAGCAGUUACCAUUGAAGACAUGUGACAGCCACGGGCAAUUUCUAGAGAAGCCUUCAUAGCCAAGAGGGAUCACACCCUCACUUUAUGUAAGGGACAGUUUGCAGUCCCUGGUCUUUAGGGUAUUUAAAGACAACCCCUAAAGGAGGCUGUCAUUUACUCACAUUCCAUGUUGGACUUGGCUCUUUCUGAUCAGGUCAGAAUUCUAGAACUUGGAUCACUGAUAAUUGAAGAUUCAAUAUUUUUUAUGGUUUACAAUUCUCAUUUCCUAUGCUUUUCCUGAUAAGUGUUUGUUUUGAUUCAAACCAACAUAGCCUUCCACCAGGUGAUUAGUUCUGUCUUCAGCAGUGCUGUGGGAGUGAGGAGAUGGGGCUGGGGGUCCAUGCUUAGCUGAACAACCAAAUGCUGUGGACAUCUUGGACCAAGCUAAAGUCCCCAUGACAAGGCCUCUCUGGCUUCUGACGGUCUUUACCUUCCUGCUCUGUAAGGUGGUCCACAGUCUGUUGCCACUGACUGGAGUCUAGGGGAUGACAGACACUUCAGCAAAUGAGAGGCUGCUGGCGUAAGGGUUACAGUGGGGUUGUUGAGUGAGACACUUCAGAUACUGCUAGCUGAUUCAUAGCCCUCUCUAGAGACUCAUUUUACCAGUGCAAAAUUAGACCUUUCCUUUCCGUGAUGAUAAUGUUCCCCAAGUUAGAUGUACUUGGCUUUGUGGACUGAAUGGGUCCCAGUUGGCCUCCAUUUCAAAGUCUUUAACAAGAUAUCCUAUAUAUUUCCCCUGGGUUUCCUUUCUCUAAGGGGGAGGGUUGAGGCCUGUUGGCUGCCUGGGUAAUGCUACCUUAUGCAGAGUUCUCAAAGGAUUACAACGGUUGGUGGGAGGGAAGUCCUUCGUUGCUUCUCACUUCGAUGCAGUGUCCCAGAUUCACUCUCUGUGGGUAUUUUCCUCUGCCCUGUUGUACAUGCCUUUAUCACAUGGAUGGAUUCUUACCUUAGUCUAACUUGUCUUCCCCAGGGAAGCUAAGCAAAGUGAUGUAAUGAAGCUAUCUUGUGCAGUAAAAUGUGAAAAAUGAAUACUGCUUCGCAAGUAUUGUAUAAAAUAAGUCUGUAAACAAAUUUCUUAUGUAAACAUACAGAGGAAUAAAGCUUUUAUCUGUUCAAAC